rnacentral:lncRNA from 1 species
GAGCAACCCAAAACCCUUGGAGGAAAAUGGGGUCUCUAAUGGCUUCUUCUGCCACUAUCACUCUUGCAUUUGCCAUAAUCCUUUUCAGCCUCCCAUCUGAAAUCUCAGCCAACCACUACUCCUACUCCUCUCCUCCACCUCCCAAGAAACCUUACCACUACCCUUCUCCUCCUCCACCGUCUCCUUCACCACCACCACCACCCUACCACUACCCAUCUCCACCACCACCACCAAAGAAGCCAUACAAGUACUCUUCACCACCCCCUCCAGUUCCCACAUACCCUCAUCCACACCCCCACCCCCACCCUCACCCUCAUCCUCACCCUCACCCACACCCACACCCAGUCUACCACUCCCCACCACCUCCACCACCAAAGAAGCCAUACAAGUACCCAUCUCCACCACCACCAGUUCACAAGCCAUACCCUCACCCACACCCAGUCUACCACUCUCCUCCACCUCCUCCCAAGAAGCCAUACAAAUACCCUUCCCCUCCUCCACCAGUGCACAAACACCCUUACCCUCACCCACACCCACACCCAGUCUACCACUCCCCUCCUCCUCCCGUUCACACCUACCCUCCCCAUGUCCCCACCCCAGUUUACCACUCUCCUCCACCAUCACCUCACAAGAAGCCUUACAAGUACAAGUCUCCUCCUCCUCCUCCGGUCUACUCUCCACCUCCACCCCACUACUACUACAAAUCCCCUCCUCCUCCUUACCACUACUAGAUACUUCACACUACAUCGUAAUAACAUCUGAAACUUUUUCUUUCUCUUUUUUAUGCUUCACUAUCAAAUAUCAUCACUAUGUUACGUCUUUUCUGUAGGAUCUUAAACGUCAAAGCCAUGGACGGGAAGCUGCACUUCUUACCUGCAGAUUCACUGAGAAUUAUAAACGUUUAUCAAUUGUUUAGAGAACCGUGUUUACUUCCAUAGUCAUUAUGUUGUUCUUCUAUUAUUAGACAUUUGUAAGGCAUGUGUUCUACAUGUAUGUGUCUGCACUUGUCUGAAUCUUCUGUAAUUUUCAAAGUCUGCUUUAUCAACCUCACCAAAUAAAUUAUUCCUUCCCAUGGGAUUCACUUUUUCCCUGUUCCUCUGCCUUUUUAUACUCCUCCUAAUAUUAAUAUUUUACGUUUAUAAUUAAUUAUCGUUUACCAGUGUUGUAUUUGAUGCUAUAUUCGGAAGCAUAUUUUAAUGGAAAAUUGAACUU